GUCCUUUUGAUUUUUAUUUAAGGUCUGACCUGCCCACUGAUUUAUUUAAUGGCCGCGGUAUUUUGACCGUGCAAAGGUAGCAUAAUAAUUUGUCUUUUAAUUGAAGGCUUGUAUGAAUGGUUGGACGAGAAAAUUACUUUCUUUAUAAUAUAUUUAUUAAUUUUAUUUUUUAGUUAAAAAGCUAAAAUAUUGUUGUAGGACGAGAAGACCCUAUAGAACUUUAUAUUUAUAGGUGUGUUGAUAUUUUUGGUUAAUUAUAUAUUUUAUAUUUAUAAAUAUUUUGUUGGGGCGACAAGAAAAUUUAUUUAACUUUUUUUAUUUUAUUUCACUAAUUAGUGUUUUUAUGAUCCUUUAUUAAGGAUAAUUAGAAUAAGUUACCUUAGGGAUAACAGCGUAAUUUUUUUGGAGAGUUCUUAUCGAUAAAAAAGUUUGCGA
rnacentral:rRNA from 1 species